rnacentral:rRNA from 1 species
GACGAACGCUGGCGGCGUGCUUAACACAUGCCAGUCGAACGGAAAGGCCCUGCUUUUGUGGGGUGCUCGAGUGGCGAACGGGUGAGUAACACGUGAGUAACCUGCCCUUGACUUUGGGAUAACUUCAGGAAACUGGGGCUAAUACCGGAUAGGAGCUCCUGCUGCAUGGUGGGGGUUGGAAAGUUUCGGCGGUUGGGGAUGGACUCGCGGCUUAUCAGCUUGUUGGUGGGGUAGUGGCUUACCAAGGCUUUGACGGGUAGCCGGCCUGAGAGGGUGACCGGCCACAUUGGGACUGAGAUACGGCCCAGACUCCUACGGGAGGCAGCAGUGGGGAAUAUUGCACAAUGGGGGGAAGCCUGAUGCAGCAACGCCGCGUGCGGGAUGACGGCCUUCGGGUUGUAAACCGCUUUCGCCUGUGACGAAGCGUGAGUGACGGUAAUGGGUAAAGAAGCACCGGCUAACUACGUG